rnacentral:rRNA from 1 species
UACGUAUGGUGCAAGCGUUAUCCGGAUUUACUGGGUGUAAAGGGAGCGCAGGCGGAAGGCUAAGUCUGAUGUGAAAGCCCGGGGCUCAACCCCGGUACUGCAUUGGAAACUGGUCAACUAGAGUGUCGGAGGGGUAAGUGGAAUUCCUAGUGUAGCGGUGAAAUGCGUAGAUAUUAGGAGGAACACCAGUGGCGAAGGCGGCUUACUGGACGAUAACUGACGCUGAGGCUCGAAAGCGUGGGGAGCAAACAGG